UUGCUUUGGUAGUACUUAUACUAAAAUUAGAACGAUCUAGAGAAGAUCAGCAUGGCCCCAGCGCAAGGAUGACACGCGAAAUCGUGACGUGUUCAGACUAUCA